ensembl:processed_transcript
GAGCAUGUCAGUCUUUUUGAGGAUUGAACAGAGUCUCCAUAGCAGACAGGACAUUAAAUUCGGUGACCAUGCUAUGAAAAUAUGCAAAGGUAAGAAGAGACCAUUCCUAUUCCUAGUUCUUUGCAUUGCUCUGAGAAGGAGCCCAGUGUGGAGAGUGUGAGCAUGCCUGGGUUAUGAGAAGUUCAGUGUAAAUAAAACUAAAGGAAAGUAAGGAGUGGAAAAUUCCAUAUCUAAAGACUUGUCAUGAGUUUGCAAUUCGGUUUUUGCUUGUUUCCUUUUUGUUUUAUUAAUCUGAGAAAAAAGUUACCCAUUCUUUAAGGCUCAGGAUCAUUGCUUUAGCAUCACUAACACAGUUCACACUGCGGAGGUCUGCAUAUAAUCAUUCAUGAUUUAUUUGAGCUGAUUUCUUAGAAAGACAAAGGAAAUAUGCAAUAAGGAGAUCUAAAACAUGCCUUUAGUUAAAACAGACAGAAAUCACAUGUGAUCUUAUUUGUUCUCAGAAACACACACACACAAAUGUAGUCAAACACUUCAGUUAACGAUCUUCUCUUCUCUGCUCCAGCAAUAAAAGAAAGAAAAAAAAAACUCUAUACAUUUCUAUGAAAAUUUCAAAAAAGAGAAGCUAUUGUUCUUUUGUUUUUAAUUGUUUAGAGAUAUUUUAGAGUCUUUUAUAAAGAUGAUUAGUAUUACAUUAGUUUUAGUACCUAAGUGGAAGUCAUAUAGUUCUGAAAGGAACUCCCAGAUAGUGAGUAUAUAGUUCAUAGCUACAUAGAUAUACAGGCAUUCAAUAAUGUCUAAGCUUUUAAGUACAUAAGUCAGAACACAAACAUGAACAAUAUCACAUCAGAAUGAUAUUUAAUAUUACAGAAAAAGCAUAGAACAAAACUUGAAGAAAUAUGUUUACAUUUUUAUUUACAUAAAAAAUUAAUAGCUGGGCUUAAAUAUGACAAUAUUUAUAAAUGAGAAUAGUUGAACCCAACACUAACAUGAAAUUAGUAAAAGUGCUAAAAAAUUACUAGCUAAAAUAUAUAGACUGUGAUGGUCAAAGCCUACUUAUGCCACAUGAGUGCUCCAAUGCCAGAAUGAAGUUGGCUAAGAGGAGGAAGAAAAGAGAUUGUAUAUUGCAAGUCUUUUGCCCAGGCUGUGACCGACACUGAAAAAAGACAUGCCGACAGAAUAGAUAGGUGUAAAAUGCACUAGAAGUGAAUUUUCCAUAGCUCUAAUCACGUAAUGUUUCUGUAUCAGGACACUAAACUCAUGGAAUAAGAUUGGAGUGUCCUAUCCUUCUUUCUUUUUAACAUUCAUUUGCAAAUGAUUGGUAUAGUUUUCUUUAAAUACUGAAAUGAGUUGACUGUUGAAGCACCCUGAGCCUGAGGUUCACUUGCUGGCGAGGUUUGUGACUAUUGCUUCCAUUCCUUCACUUGUUAUAUAACCAUUCAUAUUUUAGAUUCUUUUAUGGUAAUUAUUCUUGGGUAGCUUUCCCCAAUUUAUAUCUUUCUACUGUUUGUUUUCAUUUCUUUUAAUUGUAUAAACUGGUUCUCUAUUUGACUUUAAGUGCUUAUAGUCCCUGUAGAGUUGGUAUGGAUGUCUUCUUGUUUCAUAAAAGGUUCAGAAAUUUUGAUGACAACAGUGAUGGCUGAGCUAGAAUGUGGAUGUAGUAAUGAAAACAUCAACUGAGAGUUCUAGAUGGUAGGCCUUCCUUCCCUGAAGGAGGAGUAGUUACAUGAUCAGUAGUAGGUAAGGACUGGGGACAUGUCUCAAGGAAAGACUUUCCUCUUAUACAAUUGCCUUUAGGCAAAAGGAGGAGGAGGAAGAGGAAGAGGAGGAGGAGGACAAAUAUAUUUUAUUUGGGGCUCAAAUAGACCUUCAUAGCUUAUAGAAUAUGAUCCUAAAUGUAUUGUCAUUCCCCACAUUCCAUAUUUUACUAUUAAUUUCAUUUUAAACAUAUUUUAUGUUUUAUGGGUAUUUUACAAGGAUGUAUGUCUGUGUGUGUUCUAUAUGUGUGUCUACUGCUCACCGAGUCCAAAAAAGGAUGUCAGAUCACCUGGAACUGGAGUUUUAGAUGUUUGUGAGCUGCCACUCAGAUGCUGGUAAUAAAACUCAUGUCCUUACAGGACCAAAACCAGUAAGUGCUCUUAACUGAUGAGACAUCUCUCUAGCCUCUUAUAAGAAGUGAAGAAAUGCCUCUUAUUUGUUUGUGGCAAUCCUAGAAAUAAAUGUUAUCUGGUACCUCCAAAAUGCAUUGCUAAACUUUGAGUGUUUAUUCAGAUUCAGUUUAAUACACACACACACACACACACACACACACACACACACACACACACACACACACACACACACACUCUGACAGAGAUAUAUUCCUAUUUGUCUUUCCCAUGCUUUUAUUGGUUGAUAGAGAACAAAAGAAUAUCAAACAAAUGUGUUUACAUAUCACAGGGGACUUGAUCUGUGCAUAAAAACAAAAUAACAACAAAAGCCCUUACAUAUAGAACAUACAAUCAAAAAAGACUUUAUUUUGAACCAACAGCAUGAAUACUCUUGAGACUUCAUUGCAUGCCACUAGUUUCUAUGCACUAGUGAAUAAAACUGAUAUGAUAAAAGACCCACAUCAUAGCAGAGAUUCUGAAUACAAAGACUGCUAAUGGUUAACUGUUGCUGUUAAUUGCAGGGGGCAAGAAAAUGUCCCUUUGCUCCACUACAAUGGCCUGAAACAUUGUUUGGAUUUCUUUCUUUCUUUCUUUUUUUAUUACGUAUUUUCUUCAAUUACAUUUCCAAUGCUAUCCCAAAAGUCAUCCAUCCCCUCCCCCCCCCACUCUCCUACCCACNNNNNNNNNNNNNNNNNNNNNNNNUUCCAGUGAUGGCCAACUAGGCCAUCUUUUGAUACAUAUGCAGCUAGAGUCAAGAGCUCUGGGGUACUGGUUAGUUCAUAAUGUCUGUUUGGUUUUCUAAGAAAGGCCACCAUUUGUAGGUCUGGGCUUUGGCUGAAGCCAAGGUCAUGAAAAUCAAUAGGGUGCCAGUAAUACAUCCAUUCAACUUAUACUGGUACUCACUGUAUAAACAGUCUACAUUUUAAGUAGCAAGCAUUGCUACCCUGUGAUGGUUGGAAUUUCUGCAUUAUCAUGAAGACAUAUUCUCUGCUGUAUAGUUCCCACUUGUUUCGGGUAUUUUGUUUUGUUUUGUUUUGUUUUGUCUUGUUUUGUUUUGUUUUUCUUAAAAAAAACCAAUCGUUCCUCAUAUGCACAGUUACAAAGUGCCUUUGAUUCCACGUUGGCUUCAUUAUUGGAGUUAUAAGACAGGAAAAAUCACAUUCUAGAACAAAGAAAAUAUGUGGUUUCAGGUUACAAAUGAAUAUUAUAUGUAUAUGUUUAUACGUACAUAUGUGUAUGUAUGGAGGAACAUAGAUAGAUACAUAGAUACAAAUGAUACAACUUCAUUCAGUGUUGUAGAUGUUCCAUGAUGAGAAUAGUACACCUUAUGUGAUGCACAUAUUUGAUGUAUAUCAUUUCCUUUUUGUUCUGCACUCUAAUUAAGGAUCUGGUCAGAGCAAAGCUUUUUUGUUCAAUUAGUGAAGCCAUACACCUUGAGCUGGCUGAGAAGGGUUGCAUGUAGUUAUCAAACAGUAUUUCCUUAGUGUCUUUAAUUCAGGGAAAAAAAGUAAAACCAGAAGGAAGGGAAACAGAUUCUAAGAUGCUGAUUGAAUACAUUCCAGUGUGCAAUUGGCCUUUAUCAAGUCAAGACCCAUAAAAAGACUAGUCAGUAUAAGAAAAAGUAUUCCUAGUUAGAGGGGAGGCAGCUACACUGCAGCAUCCUGAACACAAGUGAAUUCAUCACAAUGCCAGGAGAGACAUUUAACUUCACAAAGCCUCGGUUCCUUUAUUUGCAACAGGGAAGGGAAGAACCAGGUGAUUUGUUAGGUUUAUCUGGGUUUCUUUCUAUGUCUAGAUAAUCAUCAUCAGCUACACAAUUACUUUCUACCUUAUCAUCUACUGCCCCACCUCCUUCUCCAAAGCACCUGAUAUUCAUGUCAUUGUGACUGAUGUAAUUCUAGGUGUUAUUCAUGACUGCAUAGAUCCCAGAGGAACACCAGGGAAUAUUUAGGAGGUCUCACAAAUACUCACCUAAGGGAAGUCAGAACACCCUCUCUCAACCACAGCAUGGCAGAGAGCAAAGCCAGACCAAGCUCCAACACACUGAUGAUCAGCAUCACUGAAAGGGCUCCCUAAAUUCAGGAGACGAGAGAGGUCGGUGUGACUGAGUCAGCUGAAUCCCUCACUCCUGGGUGGGAGGUGACUGUAGAGAUGAAACUAUCUCCACC